rnacentral:rRNA from 1 species
AGUGAACGCUGGCGGUAGGCCUAACACAUGCAAGUCGAACGGCAGCACAGUAAGAGCUUGCUCUUACGGGUGGCGAGUGGCGGACGGGUGAGGAAUACAUCGGAAUCUACUUUUUCGUGGGGGAUAACGUAGGGAAACUUACGCUACUACCGCAUACGACCUACGGGUGAAAGCAGGGGUUCUUCGGACCUUGCGCGAUUGAAUGAGCCGAUGUCGGAUUAGCUAGUUGGCGGGGUAAAGGCCCACCAAGGCGACGAUCCGUAGCUGGUCUGAGAGGAUGAUCAGCCACACUGGAACUGAGACACGGUCCAGACUCCUACGGGAGGCAGCAGUGGGGAAUAUUGGACAAUGGGCGAAAGCCUGAUCCAGCCAUACCGCGUGGGUGAAGAAGGCCUUCGGGUUGUAAAGCCCUUUUGUUGGGAAAGAAAAGCAGCAGAUUAAUACCCCGCUGUUCUGACGGUACCCAAAGAAUAAGCACCGGCUAACUUCGUG